AUACAUUGACAGGGGAGACACCGUGAUCACCAAGGUGGUUUUCCCCAGGGAGAAGCUCAUCCAUUGCACUCUGGGUAUACUGACCUCUGUGAUUUCUCCAAAUGCGGGAAACUCAAGUGCAUAAUUUGCAGUAGUGGGGGACUGUGUUUACACUCAUUUGGA